rnacentral:Y_RNA from 1 species
GGAUGCUCUGACUGCAGUGGUGUUUACAACUAAUUGAUCACAACAGCUACAGUUUCCUUUGUUCCUUCUCCACUCCCACUGCUUCACUUGACUAGCCUAAA